CCUACGGGUGGCAGCAGUAGGGAAUCUUCCACAAUGGGCGAAAGCCUGAUGGAGCAACGCCGCGUGGGUGAAGAAGGUCUUCGGAUCGUAAAACCCUGUUGGUAGAGAAGUAAGUGCGUGCGAGUAACUGUUCACGUUUCGACGGUAUCUAUCCAGAAAGCCACGGCUAACUACGUGCCAGCCGCCGCGGUAAUACGGAGGUGCCAAGCGUUAUCCGGAUUUAUUGGGCGUAAAGGGAACGCAGUCGGUCUUUUAAGUCUGUUGUGAAAGCCUUCGGCUUAACCGGAGUAGUGCAUUGGAAACUGGGAGACUUGAGUACAGAAGAGGAGGGUGGAACUCGAUGUGUAGCGGUGAAAUGCGUAGAUAUAUGGAAGAACACCAGUGGCGAAGGCAGCUCACUAAUCUGUAACUGACACUGAUGUUCGAAAGCGUGGGUAGCAAACAGGAUUAGAUACCCUUGUAGUC
rnacentral:rRNA from 1 species